rnacentral:tRNA from 1 species
GUCAGGAUGGCCGAGCGGUCUAAGGCGCCAGACUCAAGUUUCAAAACUUGGUCCGCUAAUGCGCCGUCAAUGGGCGUUCUGGUCCACUAAUGUUGGCGUGCGUUCGAAUCCCAUUCCUGAGA